rnacentral:rRNA from 1 species
UACGUAGGUGGCAAGCGUUGUCCGGAUUUACUGGGCGUAAAGAGCGCGCAGGCGGUCGUUCAAGUCGCGUGUGAAAGCCCCCGGCUCAACUGGGGAGGGUCACGCGAUACUGAUCGACUCGAAGGCAGGAGAGGGAAGUGGAAUUCCCGGUGUAGUGGUGAAAUGCGUAGAUAUCGGGAGGAACACCAGUGGCGAAGGCGACUUCCUGGCCUGUUCUUGACGCUGAGGCGCGAAAGCUAGGGGAGCAAAGCGGG